GCCUCCAUCUUCCUCUCGUUUCAACAGCGCCUCAUCUCAAUUCUCUUCAUCAACACCAACUGAAAAGAUGAGAUUUAUCAACAACAUCAUCUUUUGUCUAUUAUCUUCAUCAAGGCCAAAUGAAAACGAAGAUUCAUCAACAACAUCGGUUCUUGGAGUCUGAAUCGAUGAAGAAUAGACGAUGAGGAUUAUCAACAAUAAUCAAGAGUAAUUCUUUGUUGUCUAAAGCAAUUGGGAUCUAUCAAAUGGGAAAUUUUUGUUGUUUUCGGGCUGCACAAUCGUUGAAUCCCUAAAUUAACAUUUUUGGGAGUAAGUUUUCUCUGUACUUAUAUGAUUUCCUUCACUUCAAUUGGAUUUUAUGUUCUUGUAUAAUUAGGCAUCUGAAAGUCUAAUAAGCAUUAUGCUAUAUACACACAGGAAUCCAGGAAUUGCUGUAGAUUGUGUUUUUGAACUGAUUUGUUGAAUGUACUUCUCUUACAUGUAUGGGAUGAACCAGUUGACCAUGGGGGUUAUUAUAAGUGUGAUGUUUCAAAUUUGAACUUCCUAUUCUAGUUAAUAUCCGAUUUUACUUGUAUUCGUUAAAUUUAUUAGACAUGAAGGUAUGUUAAUUGUGUAUUUGUUGUUGAUAUUAGAAAUGGAACAUUUGCGUAAAUUCAAGAGCACUUGAAAGGUUUCCAGGGUAAGAAACACUUGGAGGAUUUUUCUGUUAGGUGCAUUCAAAUCUUAUUAUGAUUUUCAAUCAUAUUGGACGCUCUCUUAGCUUGUAUCAGUUCGCAUUCGGACGAUUUUUGUGACUCAAUCUUUGAAUCCGUGUCUAAAUGGUUGUGUACAAAAUUGUUUGCAUCUGUUCUCAAAUUUCAUGUUAUUGUGACUCAAUCAGGUCACUAACAUGUUAUUGUUUUUAUCUUCAAGGCAUUUUCAACUGUAGGUACGCCAGAUUACAUAGCUCCAGAAGUGUUGCUGAAGAAAGGUUAUGGCAUGGAUUAUGACUGGCUGGUAGAACUUGGUACUUGUAGCUUCACCAUCAGAAUCACUUAAAAUUACCUGAAGAGGCAAGGUUGACACCUGAAGCAAGGAAUCUCAUUUGUAGAUUGUUAUAUGAUGUUGACCAGAGACUAGAUAUUGGAGGGGCAUAUCAAAUAAAAGUGAGAUCUUAUUCCUUUUUCGAGUCUUUUCAUAUCAUGUAAUUUUGUUUCUUGUAUUUACUGUAAUGGAAACUUCUCAAGCUCAUACUUUGUUCAAAGAAGCUGUUAAAUUUAAUUUA